GAUGAACGCUGGCGGCGUGCCUAAUACAUGCAAGUCGAGCGAACAGACGAGGAGCUUGCUCCUCUGACGUUAGCGGCGGACGGGUGAGUAACACGUAGAUAACCUACCUAUAAGACUGGGAUAACUUCGGGAAACCGGAGCUAAUACCGGAUAACAUGUUGAACCGCAUGGUUUAACAGUGAAAGACGGUCUUGCUGUCACUUAUAGAUGGAUCCGCGCCGCAUUAGCUAGUUGGUAAGGUAACGGCUUACCAAGGCAACGAUGCGUAGCCGACCUGAGAGGGUGAUCGGCCACACUGGAACUGAGACGCGGUCCAGACUCCUACGGGAGGCAGCAGUAGGGAAUCUUCCGCAAUGGGCGAAAUCCUGACGGAGCAACGCCGCGUGAGUGAAGAAGGUCUUCGGAUCGUAAAACUCUGUUAUUAGGGAAGAACAAAUGUGUAAGUAACUAUGCACGUCUUGACGGUACCUAAUCAGAAAGCCACGGCUAACUACGUG
rnacentral:rRNA from 1 species